rfam:Camelus ferus unplaced genomic scaffold scaffold2421, whole genome shotgun sequence.
GAGGGUAUAGCUCCGUGGUAGAGCACAUGCUUAUCAUGAAUGAGGUGCUGGGUUCAAUCCCUAGUAUCUCCA